AUACGGAGGAUCCAAGCGUUAUCCGGAAUCAUUGGGUUUAAAGGGUCCGUAGGUGGAUAAUUAAGUCAGAGGUGAAAUCCUGCAGCUCAACUGUAGAAUUGCCUUUGAAACUGGUUAUCUUGAGUCAUUAUGAAGUGGUUAGAAUGUGUAGUGUAGCGGUGAAAUGCAUAGAUAUUACACAGAAUACCGAUUGCGAAGGCAGAUCACUAAUAAUGUACUGACACUGAUGGACGAAAGCGUGGGUAGCGAACAGGAUUAGAAACCCUAGUAGUCC
rnacentral:rRNA from 1 species